CAAUAGCGUAUAAUUAAGUUGCUGCAGUUAAAAAGCUCGUAGUUGGAUUUCGGGUGGGAAUGGCCGGUCCGCCGUUUCGGUGUGCACUUGCUACGCCCACCUUGCUGCCGGGGACGUGCUCUUGAGUUCACGCUCGGGACACGGAGUCGGCGAGGUUACUUUGAGUAAAUUAGAGUGUUCAAAGCAGGCCUACGCUCUGAAUACAUUAGCAUGGAAUAACACGAUAGGACUCUGGCCUAUCUUGUUGGUCUGUAGGACCGGAGUAAUGAUUAAGAGGGACAGUCGGGGGCAUUCGUAUUUCAUUGUCAGAGGUGAAAUUCUUGGAUUUAUGAAAGACGAACUACUGCGAAAGCAUUUGCCAAGGAUGUUUUCAUUAA
rnacentral:rRNA from 1 species